rnacentral:rRNA from 1 species
UGGGGAAUAUUGCACAAUGGGCGCAAGCCUGAUGCAGCCAUGCCGCGUGUAUGAAGAAGGCCUUCGGGUUGUAAAGUACUUUCAGCGGGGAGGAAGGGAGUAAAGUUAAUACCUUUGCUCAUUGACGUUACCCGCAGAAGAAGCACCGGCUAACUCCGUGCCAGCAGCCGCGGUAAUACGGAGGGAGCAAGCGUUAAUCGGAAUUACUGGGCGUAAAGCGCACGCAGGCGGUUUGUUAAGUCAGAUGUGAAAUCCCCGGGCUCAACCUGGGAACUGCAUCUGAUACUGGCAAGCUGGAGUCUCGUAGAGGGGGGUAGAAUUCCAGGUGUAGCGGUGAAAUGCGUAGAGAUCUGGAGGAAUACCGGUGGCGAAGGCGGCCCCCUGGACGAAGACUGACGCUCAGGUGCGAAAGCGUGGGGAGCAAACAGG